AACAUUAACGUUUUGAGCUCUGAUCAAUUUCUGCAUUAAUUAGCAUAUAUAGAAAAUCAACUUUAAUUUGGUCUGUUGUCCAUGGCUCUUGCUGUUGGUAGUUUCAUGCGCAUGCCACUGCUGCGAACGUCCAAGUACUCUAGGGCACAAAAACCUACGACGAUGACCAUAUCAUGCACUUGCCACAACAAUAGUACAAAAGGAGCAGAAAGGAGAAGGAGUGUUCUACAAACCAAAAGAAGACACGAUGGAGGAAAAGGACGUGAUCCACAAACUAAUAGUUUAGGGCAACUCAAAAGCACAACAACAACGGAAAGAGGAAUUGUUCUAAAAAAGAAAAGAAGACACAACGCAGGGAAUGGACAUGAUCCACAAACGAAUAGCAUGGGAUUACUUAAGAGAAAAACAACCGAAAGGAGAGGGAUUGUUCUAAGAAAGAAUAGAAGAAGACACGAUGGAGGAAGAGGACGUGAUUCACAAACAAAUAGCAUGGGGCUACUCAAAAGCACAACAACUAGAAGGAGAGGGAUUGUUCUACGAAAGAAUAGAAGAAGACACAAUGGAGGGAGAGGACGUGAUCCACAAACAAAUAGCAUAGGACUACUCAAAAGCACAAUAACUAGAAGGAGAGGGAUAGUUCUACGAAAGAAUAGAAGAAGACACGAUGGAGGGAGAGGACGUGAUCCACAAACAAAUAGCAAAGGACUACUCAAAAGCACAACAACUAGAAGGAGAGGGAUUGUUCUACAAACAAAAAGAAAACACCACGGAGGAAAAGGAAGUGAUCAUCAAACAAAUUAAAUAGCAUAUAUAUGGCCACUCAAAAACACAACCUAUAGUCAUCAAACUGAUAACAUUUUAGUCACCAAUUUGCAGAGUGUUAGUGAAGGCGUGAAGAAAAGCAUGGAAAGAAUUGGUGAUUUAUAGUUUUAAGUUGAAAUAGGUAAGAAUUGGGUCUUCGUAGUCCUCUACCCAAGUAACGACAGAGGAUCAUUGCAUUCCUUAUAAGAAUACAGAUAACAAAAUAUUAUGACUUACAUAUGUGUUUCUUCGUUUGAUUUAUAUUUUCAUAUACCAAUUUGAUUUCAUUGUGAUCUCAACAACUGUAAAUAUGUAAUGAUGAAAGGCUUUCAUUGUAUUAUUUAUAUUUGCA